rnacentral:rRNA from 1 species
GAUUAUGGCUCAGGAUGAACGCUAGCGACAGGCCUAACACAUGCAAGUCGAGGGGCAGCGCGGAGUAGCAAUACGUUGGCGGCGACCGGCGCACGGGUGAGUAACACGUAUGCAACCAACCCAUAACAGGGGGAUAACCCGGAGAAAUCCGGACUAAUACCGCAUAAAACAGGGGCACCGCAUGGUGAUAUUUGUUAAAGAAAUUCGCUGAUAGAUGGGCAUGCGUUCCAUUAGGUAGUUGGUGAGGUAACGGCUCACCAAGCCGACGAUGGAUAGGGGAACUGAGAGGUUGGUCCCCCACACUGGUACUGAGACACGGACCAGACUCCUACGGGAGGCAGCAGUGAGGAAUAUUGGUCAAUGGGCGGGAGCCUGAACCAGCCAAGUCGCCGUGAAGGAAGAAGGAUCUAUGGUUCGUAAACUUCUUUUGCAGGGGAAUAAAGUGCAGGACGUGUCCUGUUUUGUAUGUACCCUGAGAAUAAGGAUCGGCUAACUCCGUGCCAGCCGCAGC